rnacentral:rRNA from 1 species
GAUGAACGCUGGCGGCGUGCCUAAUACAUGCAAGUCGAGCGAACAGACGAGGAGCUUGCUCCUCUGACGUUAGCGGCGGACGGGUGAGUAACACGUGGAUAACCUACCUAUAAGACUGGGAUAACUUCGGGAAACCGGAGCUAAUCCCGGAUAAUAUAUUGAACCGCAUGGUUCAAUAGUUAAAGACGGUUUUCCUGUCACUUAUAGAUGGAUCCGCGCCGCAUUAGCUAGUUGGUAAGGUAACGGCUUACCAAGGCAACGAUGCGUAGCCGACCUGAGAGGGUGAUCGGCCACACUGGAACUGAGACACGGUCCAGACUCCUACGGGGGGCAGCAGUAGGGAAUCUUCCGCAAUGGGCGAAAGCUUGACGGAGCAACACCGCGGGAGUGAUGAAGGUCUUCGGAUCGUAAAACUCUGUUAUUAGGGAAGAACAAAUGUGUAAGUAACUAUGCACGUCUUGACGGUACCUAAUCAGAAAGCCACGGCUAACUACGUG